rnacentral:rRNA from 1 species
UGGCCUACGGGAGGCAGCAGUGAGGAAUAUUGGUCAAUGGACGCAAGUCUGAACCAGCCAUGCCGCGUGCAGGAAGACGGCUCUAUGAGUUGUAAACUGCUUUUGUACGAGGGUAAAUGCAGGUACGUGUAUCUGUUUGAAAGUAUCGUAAGAAUACGGAUCGGCUAGCUCCGCGCCAGCAGCCGCGGUAAUACGGAGGAUCAAAGCGUUAUCCGGAUUUAUUGGGUUUAAAGGGUGUGUA